UAAUGGCUAUUUCACCGCAUAAUUAGUAAGAAUAGCCUUAAAAAUGAGUUGCAAUAUUUGUUAUUUACAAUUGAGAAAACUGUUUGAAUUUAAUUUAAUCAAUCGUUUUGGUGUUUUAAUUUACCUUGCUGAUUAAUUAGUGGCCUUGAAACCGAGAUACAUAGGAUAAAUCCUGAUGGUGGAUUCUUCUGGUUCAUUAGCAAUUAUAUUGAUUUAACAAGUUCAGCCAUUUAGAAGAAAAGCUGGUUAAUAAAUGGAUUCUGAUGGUUCGUUGGCCCACCUUGAUUGUGUGUAACAAAAUUAACAAGAAUAUGAACAAUUGAUUAGUAUUAUGAACCGUGAAAUUGAUACCAGUUAUUUGGUGCUAAUGUGUUUCUACUUGAUUUAGUCAAUGUGACAGGCUACUACAGCAACUUUACCUUGCGGAUAUAAACACAGCAAAGUUAAUCUCCCUUUUCAAUCUUCCCUCUCAUCAUCUUCUUCUCCGUCUUAUUUUUUUCUCUCUUCUCCUCCUUUUACCUAUUUGUCUUCAAAUGUUUUCACUUCUUCCUCAUCAUCAUCUUAAGGGGUAGGAGGAGUUGAAAGUUUACUUCAAGACAGAUGAGAAAGUGAAGAUGAUAAAGAUGAACACAAUGUUUUAGCAAAUGUAAUACAAGAAACAAAACUUCAUCUUCAUCAUCAUCUUAUUAAUCUAACUUCUGGUUAGUUGUUUUGUUAUUUAACAAAAUAAACAACAGAAUCAGAUAAGGAGCGGUUCCUAACAACAAUUAAGAAACUGUAAUUGUUUAGUUUCUCUUUUUGCAACAAGAAACAAAACAGUAAGCUGAAUCAACUAAUCAUCAGUUAUAACAAACUCAACUAGCUACAAAUAAAGUCAAUUAAACGUCAAUCAGCAAACAGAUGAUGAAAAAGGAAGGAGUUAAAAAACUAAUCUAAUUUAACUCACCAUUUGUUUCCAUUUAUCAUUGUCUAUUAAUUUAAUUAAUAGACAAUGUCUUAACUACUUUCUGGAUAAACAGUGACAAUAUUUAAUGUUAUUUUGUGAAUAUAAGACAACAAGUUAAAAGCUUGUUGAACCAGAAUACAAAACCCAAUCUCAACAUGUCAGUUGAAAAACGUUAAUAUAUAUUAUUUAUGAUAUAAAUUAAAAAAGCUAAAUGUCUUGCAUAGAUCAA